rnacentral:rRNA from 1 species
UACAUGUGGGGCAAGCGUUGUUCGGAAUUACUGGGCAUAAAGGGUGCGUAGGCGGUUUGUUAAGUCACUGGUGAAAGUUUUCGGCCCAACCGGAAAAUUGCCUGUGAUACUGGCGAACUUGAGUGCGUGAGGGGUGGGGGGAACGAGCAGUGUAGCGGUGAAAUGCGUAGAGAUCCGGAAGAACACCGGUGGCGAAGGCGGCCUGCUGGGCUAUGGCUGACACUGAGGCGCGACAGCGUGGGGAGCAAACAGG